UACGAAGGGCCCGAGCGGUAUUCGGAAUUAUUGGGCUUAAAGGGUGCGUAGGCGGUGCUGUAAGUCGGGUGUGAAAUCCCACGGCUCAACCGUGGAACUGCGCCCGAUACUGCAGUGCUAGAGGGAGACAGAGGUAAGCGGAACUGAUGGUGGAGCGGUGAAAUGCGUUGAUAUCAUCAGGAACACCAGUGGCGAAAGCGGCUUACUGGGUCUCUUCUGACGCUGAGGCACGAAAGCUAGGGUAGCGAACGGG
rnacentral:misc_RNA from 1 species